CCGGGGCUCAAACUUACCACCGAAGCUAUGGGUGUACACUAUGUGUACGCGGUAGAGGAGCUUUCUGUAUGGGUUGAAGUCGUACCGUAAGGAGCGGUGGACUGUACAGAAGUGAGAAUGCUGGCAUAAGUAGCGAGAAAUAAGUGAGAAUCUUAUUGGCCGAAAACCUAAGGUUUCCUGAGGAAGGUUCGUCCGCUCAGGGUUAGUCGGGACCUAAGCCGAGGCCGAAAGGCGUAGGUGAUGGACAAUCGGUUGAUAUUCCGAUACCACCUAUUUACGUUUGAGAAAUGGGGUGACGCAGUAGGAUAAGAUGUGCGCACUAUUGGAUGUGCGUCUAAGCACUUAGGCAUGCUUGAUAGGCAAAUCCGUCGAGCUAAGCUGAGGUGUGAUGGGGAGCCAUUUAUGGCGAAGUAUCUGAUUCCACACUGCCAAGAAAAGCCUCUAUCGAGUGAAUAGGUGCCCGUACCGCAAACCGACACAGGUAGGUGAGGAGAGAAUCCUAAGGCCAUCGGAAGAAUUGCUGUUAAGGAACUCGGCAAAUUGACCCCGUAACUUCGGGAGAAGGGGUGCCUACGAAAGUAGGCCGCAGAGAAUAGGCCCAAGCAACUGUUUAGCAAAAACACAGGUCUCUGCUAAAGCGAAAGCUGAUGUAUAGGGGCUGACGCCUGCCCGGUGCUGGAAGGUUAAGGGGAACACUUAGCGUAAGCGAAGGUGUGAACUUAAGCCCCAGUAAACGGCGGCCGUAACUAUAACGGUCCUAAGGUAGCGAAAUUCCUUGUCGGGUAAGUUCCGACCCGCACGAAUGGCGUAAUGAUUUGGGCACUGUCUCAACAGCAAAUCCGGCGAAAUUGUAGUGCAAGUGAAGAUGCUUGCUACCCGCGAUUGGACGGAAAGACCCCGUAGAGCUUUACUGUAGCUUAGCAUUGAAUCUCGGUAUUGUCUGUACAGGAUAGGUGGGAGACUUGGAAGCUUGGGCGUCAGCCUGAGUGGAGUCAUCCUUGGGAUACCACCCUGACAGUACUGGGGUUCUAACCGGCGGCCAUGAAUCUGGUCACGGGACAUUGUUAGGUGGGCAGUUUGACUGGGGCGGUCGCCUCCUAAAAAGUAACGGAGGCGCCCAAAAGUUCCCUCAGCGCGGUCGGAAAUCGCGCGAAGAGUGCAAAGGCAGAAGGGAGCUUGACUGCGACACAUACAGGUGGAGCAGGGACGAAAGUCGGGCUUAGUGAUCCGGUGGUACCUCGUGGGAGGGCCAUCGCUCAACGGAUAAAAGCUACCUCGGGGAUAACAGGCUGAUCUCCCCCAAGAGUCCACAUCGACGGGGAGGUUUGGCACCUCGAUGUCGGCUCGUCGCAUCCUGGGGCUGAAGUAGGUCCCAAGGGUUGGGCUGUUCGCCCAUUAAAGCGGCACGCGAGCUGGGUUCAGAACGUCGUGAGACAGUUCGGUCCCUAUCCGUCGCGGGCGUAGGAAAUUUGAGAGGAGCUGUCCUUAGUACGAGAGGACCGGGAUGGACCAACCUCUGGUGCACCAGUUGUCACGCCAGUGGCACAGCUGGGUAGCUAUGUUGGGACUGGAUAAACGCUGAAAGCAUCUAAGCGUGAAGCCAACCUCAAGAUGAGAUUUCCCAUAGCGUAAGCUAGUAAGACUCCUGGAAGAACACCAGGUUGAUAGGUCAGAGAUGUAAGCAUGGCAACAUGUUAAGUUGACUGAUACUAAUAAGUCGAGGGCUUGACCAA
rnacentral:rRNA from 1 species